GGCACAGUGAUUUAGUGGUUAGAAUGUUUGCCUCGCACCUCCAGGGUUGGGGGUUUGAAUCUCGCCUCUUCCA